GGGGCUGUCACGGGUUCGAUAGGGACAGGAGGCCAGAUGAGCAAGCCGAGGGCGCGCGGGUCCUCGUAAAUCCUCCGUGCAAAGAAGACAAUUGCCAACAUCUUCGCGAAGGCCAAGAACAUGAUCGCUUCGGCGUUCUCCGUUCCGACCUUCUCCACGGUUGUCGCCUAAUAGCCACAACCCAUCCGUCCCCUGACGUCCGAUAGCGGGAUUCGGGUGCCAUAUAAUCGGGCUGGGCCAUGCCGUUGUUCGUCCGGUAUGACCGAGGAGGCAGGCGAGCACGUUCGCGCGGGUUUUGUCCCGCUCACAUCGCGCGGCCGUAUCUAGGCGGGACUCAGCUUGAAGAAACAUCCGGUCGAGCGUUCUUACACAUGGGUUCAAUUCCCAUCAGCUCCACCA
rnacentral:tmRNA from 3 species